CAGUCGCCACGGGAAUACGUAGGUGGCAAGCGUUGUCCGGAAUUAUUGGGCGUAAAGGGCUCGCAGGCGGUUUCUUAAGUCUGAUGUGGAAGCCCCCGGCUCAACCGGGGAGGGUCAUUGGAAACUGGGAAACUUGAGUGCAGAAGAGGAGAGUGGAAUUCCACGUGUAGCGGUGAAAUGCGUAGAGAUGUGGAGGAACACCAGUGGCGAAGGCGACUCUCUGGUCUGUAACUGACGCUGAGGAGCGAAAGCGUGGGGAGCGAACAGGAUUAGAUACCCGAGUAGUCCCUGUCUCUUAUAC
rnacentral:rRNA from 1 species